AAUAGAUACCCGGGUAGUCCCAGCCGUAAACGAUGCUCGCUAGGUGUCAGGCAUGGCGCGACCGUGUCUGGUGCCGCAGGGAAGCCGUGAAGCGAGCCACCUGGGAAGUACGGCCGCAAGGCUGAAACUUAAAGGAAUUGGCGGGGGAGCACAACAACGGGUGGAGCCUGCGGUUUAAUUGGACUCAACGCCGGACAACUCACCGGGGGCGACAGCAAUAUGUAGGCCAAGCUGAAGACUUUGCCUGAAUCGCUGAGAGGAGGUGCAUGGCCGUCGCCAGUUCGUACUGUGGAGCAUCCUGUUAAGUCAGGCAACGAGCGAGACCCGUGCCCACUGUUACCAGCAUGUCCUCCGGGACGAUGGGUACUCUGUGGGGACCGCCGAUGUUAAAUCGGAGGAAGGUGCGGGCCACGGUAGGUCAGUAUGCCCCGAAUCUCCCGGGCUACACGCGGGCUACGAUGGAUGGGACAAUGGGUCCCUCCCCUGAAAAGGGCUGGUAAUCGUCACAAACCCAUUCGUAGUUCGGAUCGAGGGCUGUAACUCGUCCCG
rnacentral:rRNA from 1 species